rnacentral:rRNA from 1 species
AGAGUUUGAUCAUGGCUCAGGACGAACGCUGGCGGCGUGCUUAACACAUGCAAGUCGAGCGGAAAGGCCCCUUCGGGGUACUCGAGCGGCGAACGGGUGAGUAACACGUGAGCAACCUGCCCUUAGCUCUGGGAUAGCUCCGGGAAACCGGGAUUAAUACCGGAUAUGACUGCGGUCGGCAUCGGCUGUGGUGGAAAGUU